rnacentral:lncRNA from 1 species
UUUUUUUUUUUCAUAUUUUCCAAGGGUUUUUCCAAUGGGUUACAUCUGAUAAUUCAGGAAAGCACACCAAAUAAACACUGUCUUUAAAAGAAAAAGAGAAGUCACUAUUGCGCCCUUCUCACCCCCCAAAAUCUCCGUAGGCCUAGGUUUGAAAUUCAAUUCGCUGGGAACACAGGUGUGCUCGUCAGACAUGCUUUAGCCUCACUAGUUGCCUUGUUAAACUUACCCCUGACUGUAGGUCUCGGGCUCUCCCUGCCCCCUGCCAAGCAGGGCAGGAAGUGUUUGAUCCACGCCUAUUACCAUGCCAGUGUUGGCUACCACGUGGAGAUGAGUGCCAAAAUCUCCCCCAGGGUAGAAGGAGGCAGAGGAACAUCCAUUCUCACCUAUGUGUUUUAUAUUCCCUUUCAAAUCCAAUUCAGUUAAUGUGGUUAUUUGGAUCCCCCGCCCACAGACAGCUGAGCUGGGGAUUAAUGGCUCUCCCCUCUUGUGAUGGCCUUACAAGGUCACACACUACUUUAACGGCUGUUCUGGCUCUGCUCUCACUAAAAUGUUGACUUGGGCCUGAGAGUUGCAUCUUCAGCAUGGCGAGUGUGGUCAUCCACAGCCUCAUCGUCAAGACGCUAUUAAGAUGGAACUCAUGUUUCUCUUUUUUCUUAUGUAUUUAUUUAUUUUUGCUUUUUCGGGCCGCACUCUUGACAUAGGGAGGCUCCCAGGCUAGAGGGUGAAUCGGAGCUACAGCUGCCGGCCUACACCACAGCCACAGCAACACAGGAUCUAAGCUGCGUCUAGGACCUACACCACAGCUCACGGCAACACGGGAUCCUUAACCCACUGAGCAAGGCCCGGGAUCGAACCCGCAACCUUGUGGUUACUAGUCAGAUUUGUUUCCAUGGCAUCACAGCAGAACUCCAGAACCCAUGUUUCAUUAGCCAACACUGUCCUUUCUGUUGUCUUUAUUUAAAAGCAGUCAUAGCUACAAAAGAGCUAAAUAGGAGCUCAUUGAAUCACCUCUUCAUGGUGAUGGGGGGUGUAGGGAAUUAAAUGCUAAUCCCAUUUUUCCCUUUAUUUUAGGGUAUACUAAUGAGGGGAAAAAAAAACAAAAACAAAAACUCCAUCACGGGGGUCCCUAGGUUUGACUGAAACCAAUUUCACACUGGAAAUCAGGCUCUAAGGUUAAAGCAGCUAGAUCUUUUCCAUUUUCACUGCAGCCCUGUUUCUAACCUUGACCCCAAAUUGAGGCAGAUUCCAGGCAUAACUGGCAUACUUGGGUUUGUCUGGGUGAAUUAAAUGGUCAAAUAGUAUUAGCCAAAUUCCUACACAUGUGCAGCCCCAUACCUGAUGUGCCAAAUAGCUAAGGAAAAAGAGUUGGAUCUGCUUACAGAGUCUACAACCUAAUUGUGGAGAGGGUGGUUUGAUAGGAUAUGAAGAAUGGGAUGGUCUAGGAAGCAGAAUUAGGGGAUGUGGGCUGGAGAUGAUGCAGUGCUCAGCAAACAUUUUCUUAAAGAGCCAGAGAGCAAAUAUUUUAAGGCCACGAGGUAAAAAGUAGGCUAUUAUGGAAGUACUUAUAAAACCAUUUAAAAUAUAAGGCAAAUGUAGAAAUCAUACUCCCUUAGGGCCAUUAAAAAAACAAACAAACAAACAAAAAAAACAGGCUGGUCUUGGACCUUGGGCCUCAGUUUGUGGACCCCUGGCUAGGACAGCAGGCAGAGCCGAUAGCUAAGAGCAAAGGAGCCUCAGUUCCAGUUCUUUCCAUGUGAUUUUAAUGUAAGUCAUUUUUUUCUUCUAUAAAAAGGAGGAAAUAGGAGGUAUCUUUGAUUAUCACACUGUUUUCAAAGAUCCAAUGAGGACAUAAAUGUGAGGAAUUAUAUCAAUUAAAACUUUCUAACCAAUGCAAAGGAUAGUCAUGGCGAACCCUGCUCUUGGGAAACUUAUGACCAAGAUCCAUCAAGAAAAAUCUGGCAUUGGUCCUCUCGAUGAAGAAUGGCCACCAGUGAUUACAACGUAUGCUCCAUAUUCUGACCUACAGAAUGAGAGGAGGGUACACUCCAUAAUGAGGACCGUGGGGAAACAGCACUGCAAUCCCCACCCACCACAAUCACCCCCACUGAGGGACAGAGAUGGGCAAAAUGUGAGCAAAUUGGCUUUAAGCCUUAAGAGAAUUUUUCGUCCAUGAAUCCUACCUAUAGUCCCUCUAGUUUCCUGUCAUUUUGUUCUUGAAGCUGGCUCCAUGUCCCAACUGAAUCUAAAAGAGAAGUCUUCACCAAGCUCCCCCAGCUUUCCGGGGUGCACAGCAAAGUUUAAAUUGUGCUUGGCCUUAUAAUAUUUGUACACAGUAGGCAGUAACUCCUUGUGUGUAGAAUUUAAUUCAGCUGACUCUCUCUGCUCUGAAGGAGCAUUACAAAGAUGGGCAGGUGACACCACGAAUUCAGUUUCAGAAAUUACUGAAAGGAGGAAAACAGUGAUGCUGCUUUUCAUUUUGAUGACACUGAAAACAUUUCUCCCACGCUAAAUAUUUGUUAAUGUUAACAGUCCAAAGCAGGUGGCAACAUUUUUUUUUUCCUAAAUGUCUUCUUAGGGCCACACUGUCAACAUAUGGGAAAUCCCAGGUUAGGGGUGGAAUCAGAGCUGCAGCCAUUGACUUAUGCCACAGCCACAGUAAUGUGGGAUCUGAGUUGCCUCUGUGACCUACACCACAGCCCCUGGCAACGCUGGAGGCUACAGCUCCACCUGGACCCCUAGACUGAGAACCUUCAUAUACUGUGGGUAUGGCCCUAAAAAGACAAANUGUGUGUUUGUCAGCUUUGGGUCCAUAAACAGGGUUCUUUCUUUAUGGCUUUGGGUUCCAGAUUUAAUAAGCAUUCAAAGAUAUUUUGUCAACAAAAUGAAACAACUUUAAGUGUACAAAACAGAGAGUUCAGCGAUGAAAACUACCGACUGAUUAUACAUAUAACUGGAUUUAUUGUUAGUAUUUUUCUUAUCCCUUUGGUUCCAUCUUCCAUUUAUUUUCUCCUUAGCAUUUGCAGAGGCCCCAAUUUCAUAAAUUGCAGCAAUAACCACCUUACUUCCUAUUACCCUUAAACUUCAUAUCAACCUGAGGUUUCUCUCCUCUAAAUUGGCACAGACACCUCUGUGUUUCCAGGCUGGAUGUGCACAAGCUGCAAUGUUCAUUCUGGUAGAAACACAGACAUUUGGAAUGGCUCCUGUAAAAAUCUCUGACUUCAAGCCUUCUCAGAAGUGAGAAGACAGGUUAGGACACAUGACUGGCCCAUCGUCAUCAUCCCGCCAUCAUUUGAUUUCUGCAUCAUACAACCAAUUGAUUCCUCAUAACCACCUACAGAAUGUGCGUGUACCGCUUGCAGUGUUUAAUCCCCGCCUGUGGAAAACACAUGAUCAAGAUAAAUUCGAAUAUGUGACACUUCCUCCAUCUCAAAAAAUAAAAGGAUCAAUUUUAAGCCCUUCAUUACAAUCCCUAGGAGGAGCACAAGGGAAAGUGAAUGUGCUGCCAACAAUGCAAAGGAGUUUUCCUUUCGAAUAUCCUGAUUUAAAGAGAGACUAUAAGCAGCCUCAACUGGAAGCACCCACAUGAACAGUUUUAAAUGAAAACUUUAAAAAAAACAAAAACAAAAAAAGAUUCAGAUUGUGGAUUUUACCCUCAGCCAUUGGAAGGCUGCGUAACAGGAAAAUCAUAGGUAGACUGAUAGGAGAGGAAGGGAGGGAGGAAGGAAAAGAGAAAAAGACGAAAGGAAAAGGCGGAAGGAAGGAGACGGGAGAGGAGAGGAAUCUUAUAAAGACAUUGCUGCCUACUUCGGGAGUAUCAGAAAGAUAGGGGUACGUAACUUGUUGAAGAAAACCUUCUAGAGAUGCCAGAGAAGAGUGGUACAUCCCCAAACCAGAUCAAGCUAAACCCUGAUUUCAUUCUAGUCCACUGUGUAGAAAGAAGAGAUUCCUUAAAAUCCUUAGGUUUUGAAAACCCCAGACUCAUGACUUCAACUGAUCAAUCUGAAAUGUAUACAUAUGAGUGGAAAAUGUGUAAAUAUGUAUAGUGGUGGCGGUGGGAUCAUCGGGCAGUGGGCUCCUGGCUGUGGACACUCUGGAUCUGAGCACUGCUUUCCAGGGAACCGUGUCCCUCAUUCCUCACCACUGCAGCUGGACCUGAAAAGACCCCACCCCAUCUCGUGAGAGAAAACAAAAGCAGGAUU